rnacentral:lncRNA from 1 species
CAUCAAUCCAUCAUCAUUCUUUGGAUCAACAAGACAAGUAGUCCUAUAUGCGAAGUUGUUAAUUUCAUAUUCAUUCUAUACGUUCUGAACCAAAAUCAAUCAAGAAGACAAAGUCAUCCUAUAUAUGAAGUUGUUAUGGAACAAUGAACUAAAUUAGGGUUUAUGCAAAAUGUAACAUCACAAAUGGAAAGGCAAUUCUCAAGUUCCUCCCCUGCAUGCCAAUCUACUUCAAAAUACAUUUGCCACCAUCUUGAUCUUGAUCAUCUGUCAUCAGAAACUUUAGGAAAUCCUAAAUAUUCCAACGUACAGUAGUACGUAUUGAUCAAGUUUAAGCAAUGUGGCUAUACAAUAUGUAGUAAGAAACAAAAGAGAAAAACACCGGGAGAAGAAACACGACUCGCUUCGGCAUAAUCUGAAAGCUAUGGUAAUCAGAAAACAACCCUUCAUCUUCAAUGAUGGUCUCCAUUUUCGAAAUGUUAUUCGAAGGCUUCUCGUGGGGGAUCAUAAGUGCUGGUGCAACUUCGUCCAAGUCUUGCAUGAUCCUCAUUUCCUUUCCCAUCAGACCCAUGAUCACUGAUAUGUUUUCUCUGUAAAUAUAUAUUCAAAGAACUAUUAAGAAUGUAAUUGUUCUUGAACAUAUAUGAAUGGGUUUGGGGAGAUAGGUUUGGUGAAGCAACCUAUAUAUACAUGAACUGAGUGAAGGUUCUGUGCAAAUUUAGGAGGGUGGUUGGUUGGACUUGCUUAACUAAUCGGUGGUGGACAUGAGGCCAAUUAACGUUGAUCUUCAGUGAUUUUAGGAAAAGAUAGAUUCUGUAGAACUGUAAUGAACCCAGAAAAGUAAAAAGUGUGUAAAUAUAACCGCGUGUUAUAUUUGUUAUGUGACAAAUGGGUGGUUUAUAGGAGCAAGAUCGUGGUAUCCGUAGAUCUUGGUUCAAGUAAUAUAGGGGGGAUGAGAGCACCAUCAGAUUGAUUUUCGUUGAUCAAAGCAACAGUUUUAGCAAUUGAUAGUAUUCUGUUAAGGAUAAUAUGUCAUCAAUAAUGUUGAGAGACUGAAAGCCGUUUCUGUAUGCAUUUUGAGUACAAUCGUGUUCACGUUGGUUAAUAACUUAGAGAUUUAUAAGUAACGCUGGGUAUCCAAAUUAGUUUGAGGUAGGCAAUCUAGUUUGAUUUAAUCAAGAAUCAUAUAUACAAUGAAUAAGAACAUAUAUGGCGACAUGAUGAGUACCACUUUUAUGAAUUAAUGGCACAUCUUGGAGCUACUCCAUUUUGGGUCUCUAUCCUAAAGGAUUGGCUGCAGCUAGGGCUUUUAUCCAAUCAGGUCUUGGUCAUUUCUCAAUCUGGGUAAGGCACUGUGACAGAUUAUGGAAAUGUGGAGUAUGUUUAUUCUUUGGUAUAUGUAUGUAUAUGGCUCUCUCAGACAGAUCGAAUGAAAAACAACAUGCAUAUUACCAUCUUCUUCAAUGCUUUUGUUUUAUUGGUGCCCUAGCCUAACUGACAUGGCACUUAGUAACACACAGCUAGCUGCGUGAUGGGAAUACAGUGAUAGAUCGACAUAUCCAGACAGUGCAGCCGUGCAGGUUGCAUUCGAUCAGAAAUGGAUUAGGCUUGGUCGACAUAUAUGACGACGAUGCAUCGGUGAAGAUUUACAGUAGCCAAUCAAGGAACUUUAUCACAGUCAUGCAUUGAGAUGGGUACGUGGUACUGGUGUAAGCAUAUUUUUUGAAAGAGAAUGGAGGACAAUAACUAGCUGAUAAGAUUGCUCAUCGAUCCAUAAUCCAAUGAAUCUUAAUAUUCGUGAAUUAAGAUUGUUAGCGCUAGCUAGUCUAGUAAUAAUAUUGGUUACAAAUCAAUAUUCCAUAUAUAACACUAGUACUAGCUUC